CGCUGAAAGAGGAGCUUGCUCUUCUUGGAUGAGUUGCGAACGGGUGAGUAACGCGUAGGUAACCUGCCUUGUAGCGGGGGAUAACUAUUGGAAACGAUAGCUAAUACCGCAUAACAAUGGAUGACACAUGUCAUUUAUUUGAAAGGGGCAAUUGCUCCACUACAAGAUGGACCUGCGUUGUAUUAGCUAGUAGGUGAGGUAACGGCUCACCUAGGCGACGAUACAUAGCCGACCUGAGAGGGUGAUCGGCCACACUGGGACUGAGACACGGCCCAGACUCCUACGGGAGGCAGCAGUAGGGAAUCUUCGGCAAUGGGGGCAACCCUGACCGAGCAACGCCGCGUGAGUGAAGAAGGUUUUCGGAUCGUAAAGCUCUGUUGUAAGUCAAGAACGAGUGUGAGAGUGGAAAAUUCACACUGUGACGGUAGCUUACCAGAAAGGGACGGCUAACUACGUGCCAGCAGCCGCGGUAAUACGUAGGUCCCGAGCGUUGUCCGGAUUUAUUGGGCGUAAAGCGAGCGCAGGCGGUUUGAUAAGUCUGAAGUUAAAGGCUGUGGCUCAACCAUAGUUCGCUUUGGAAACUGUCAAACUUGAGUGCAGAAGGAGAGAGUGGAAUUCCAUGUGUAGCGGUGAAAUGCGUAGAUAUAUGGAGGAACACCGGUGGCGAAAGCGGCUCUCUGGUCUGUAACUGACGCUGAGGCUCGAAAGCGUGGGG
rnacentral:rRNA from 1 species